AAAAAAGCAGUGGUCUGAUUCCUAUAUGAGCAGUCCUCUCGUUACCUUCAGGGAAAUUAAAUCCACUGUUAUUGGGUGAACCUAUGUUCCUUUUUUAUGACUGAAGGUUCAGUAAACGAUGGAAUAUUU